GCCUUCGUGGUUUAGUGGACAGCACUCUCGACGCGUAACCGAGAAGUUCGUGGUUCGAUUCCCGUCGAAGGCG
rnacentral:tRNA from 1 species